AUGGUGCUAAAGUAAUCAAACUGUUACACUCCGAAACCACAAGAUUUUCCAGAGGCUGAAGAACAUAGUCCAACUGGGAGUCUUGGUUCCAUAUAUCCGUCAAAUCAGGAAGCUUAAACAAUUCUAAGCGCCGUGUCUGUCUAAGAAUCUCAGCAUAUAAUUUUUCCUUACCAAUAGAGCCUUCAUAAGGAAACAACUUUUUGAAUUGACUACAAGCCACUACAAGUUUUUCCAUACACCGAAAUCUUUCAAGGAGAUGAAAGGGAAAAACUACAGAUUCAUCAUGAAAGCAAUGUAUCGCAACGACUUUGAGUUUCUGAAAGAGGUCUGCUGGGAACUGGCUUUGCCAUAUUAUUGUAACAUCCUUUCUUGUCAGUGUUAACUGCUCCAAGUUGGAGACAAUCUUUCUAAACGAGAAAAGUGGUUGCAGAACUCGAAUCAUAAGUUGGCUCUCCUUAUUUGUUUCUACCAAGUUCUCAUAUUCUGAACAAAAAAUGUUUACUUCCUCACAAUGAUACACCGUUAAGCUCUUUAACAUUGGAGAUUCCAAAGUGUGUAUUCCUGGGUAGAAGCACUUGAGCGCAUAUAAUUCCCCAAAAGUCAAGAACUUUAAGCAAGGAAAAACAAAUUCAGAAGUUGCUUCUAAUCCUUGGUCCUGAGCAACAAUUUCCUCCACCCCACAACUUCUUAUAUGCAGGGUUUCGAGUUGUGGCAGAUUUUUAGCUAUUGAAGCUG
rnacentral:misc_RNA from 1 species